rnacentral:rRNA from 1 species
AGAGUUUGAUCAUGGCUCAGAAUCAACGCUGGCGGCGUGCCUAACACAUGCAAGUCGAACGAGAAAGGGUAGCAAUACCUGAGUAAAGUGGCGCACGGGUGAGUAACACGUGACUAACCUACCCUGGAGUGGGGGAUAACUGAGGGAAACCUUAGCUAAUACCGCAUAAUACCUACGGGUCAAAGGAGCAAUUCGCUUCAGGAGGGGGUCGCGGCCGAUUAGUUAGUUGGCGGGGUAAUGGCCCACCAAGACAGUGAUCGGUAUCCGGCCUGAGAGGGCGCACGGACACACUGGAACUGAAACACGGUCCAGACUCCUACGGGAGGCAGCAGUGGGGAAUUUUGCGCAAUGGGGGAAACCCUGACGCAGCAACGCCGCGUGGAGGAUGAAGUCCUUCGGGACGUAAACUCCUUUCGAUCGGGACGAUUAUGACGGUACCGGAAGAAGAAGCCCCGGCUAACUUCGUGCCAGCAGCCGCGGUAAUACGAGGGGGGCGAGCGUUGUUCGGAAUUAUUGGGCGUAAAGGGUGCGUAGGCGGUUUUGUAAGUCUUAUGUGAAAUCUAUGGGCUCAACUCAUAGACUGCAUGAGAAACUGCAGGGCUUGAGUAUGGGAGAGGUGAGUGGAAUUCCUGGUGUAGCGGUGAAAUGCGUAGAUAUCAGGAGGAACACCUGUGGCGAAAGCGGCUCACUGGACCAUAACUGACGCUGAUGCACGAAAGCUAGGGGAGCAAACAGGAUUAGAUACCCUAGUAGUCC